UACGGAGGGUGCAAGCGUUAUCCGGAUUCACUGGGCUUAAAGGGUGCGUAGGCGGGCAGGUAAGUCAGUGGUGAAAUCUUCGAGCUUAACUCGGAAACUGCCGUUGAUACUAUCUGUCUUGAAUACCGUGGAGAUGAGCGGAAUAUGUCAUGUAGCGGUGAAAUGCUUAGAUAUGACAUAGAACACCAAUUGCGAAGGCAGCUCGUUACACGAAUAUUGACUCUGAGGCACGAAAGCGUGGGGAUCAAACAGG
rnacentral:rRNA from 1 species